ACGGUAUUUUUUGUAUUAAAAUGACUUUCACGUAACGCAAAUAGUGAUAAAGUGUCUCAGCUCAGCAGGGGGCCAUUCGUUUAUGAAUAUGUACAUCUUAUCAGUUGGAUUUGUGCAUUUGUAUUUGCUACAAAACAAACUCAACAACAGUGCAAAAUAAAAUGUGCACUUGUUUACGAUAAUAUUCUAAAGUAAAAUAGCUCACAUUUCAUGACAGCGUACACAUGUACAAGGCGAAAAACUAGAGAAAAAAAUUUGCUUACAAUGAUCAUAUUUAGGCAAAAACUUCAUGUCGAUAAAUUUGGUGAAGAUAUCAUAAAUCGGACAUAAUCGAUCAAAAUAACUGAAAAUUAACUGAAAAUCAGGGGCUGAUUUAUACUCUCGAAGAGAGAAACAAUGAUUUUCUUCCUUUUCUUCAAUUUAGUAGCGGAGCGGCAAAGAUCUGCAGUGCGUCAGUUCGGGUUCUCCAGAGAGUGAACCAUUAAUCUUUUUUGAUGAUUCACUAAGGCAUAUCUUCAAAGGUUCUAACUGAGGUCGUAAUUGGCUUUUGGGACAGCAACCCAGUUGUGAAACGCAUAUAGCCCCUCGCUUCGUCACCUGCAGUACUCGACAUGGGUUUCUGCAACAAUGAAAGUGGACGUGAUCUGGUGAGGGGAUUAGUACGCAUAGUAUCGCCACAACAUUUCCACACUACUUACUCUUUAUUUAUUCCACACUCAUUUCUACUUUACCCGAUUGGCCAACAAAAAAGGAUUCCAAACUCAUACAUACAAUACAUAUGUACAUAUGUAUAUAGUAUUUACGAUAGCGCAUAUUUAUUAUUUACAAUUGUAUAAACAAAAAUAUACUCGUACAAUUAAAUACAUUCUAAAAAUAAGUUCAUUGUUGUGCUUUGUUAUACGAAUUAAUGAUUUGCGGAGAGUAGAAAAACAAUCGAAUAUACAAUAAAGCAAAAGUGUAGCCAAGAGCUGAUACGCGGUUAAA